AUUGAACGCUGGCGGUAGGCUUAACACAUGCAAGUCGUGCGAGAAAGUAUCUUCGGAUAUGAGUAGAGCGGCGGACGGGUGAGUAACGCGUAGGAAUCUACCUAGUAGAAGGGGAUAGCCCGGGGAAACCCGGAUUAAUACCGUAUACCUCCUUCGGGAGAAAGAAGGCCCCUCUUUGAAGCUUUCGCUAUUAGAUGAGCCUGCGUAAGAUUAGCUUGUUGGUGAGGUAAAGGCUCACCAAGGCGACGAUCUUUAGCUGGUCUGAGAGGACGAUCAGCCACAUUGGGACUGAGACACGGCCCAGACUCCUACGGGAGGCAGCAGUGGGGAAUAUUGGACAAUGGGCGCAAGCCUGAUCCAGCCAUACCGCGUGUGUGAAGAAGGCCUUCGGGUUGUAAAGCACUUUAAGCAGGGAGAAAAAGUUAUAAGUUAAUACCUUAUAACCCUGAUGUUACCUGCAGAAUAAGCACCGGCUAAUUCCGUGCCAGCAGCCGCGGUAAUACGGAAGGUGCAAGCGUUAAUCGGAAUUACUGGGCGUAAAGCGCGCGUAGGUGGUUUGUUAAGUUGGAUGUGAAAGCCCUGGGCUCAACCUAGGAACUGCAUCCAAAACUAACUCACUAGAGUACGAUAGAGGGAGGUAGAAUUCAUAGUGUAGCGGUGGAAUGCGUAGAUAUUAUGAAGAAUACCAGUGGCGAAGGCGGCCUCCUGGAUCUGUACUGACACUGAGGUGCGAAAGCGUGGGUAGCGAACAGGAUUAGAUACCCUGGUAGUCCACGCCGUAAACGAUGACAACUAGCUGUUGGGAGACUAUGUCUUUCAGUGGCGCAGCUAACGCUUUAAGUUGUCCGCCUGGGGAGUACGGCCGCAAGGCUAAAACUCAAAUGAAUUGACGGGGACCCGCACAAGCGGUGGAGCAUGUGGUUUAAUUCGAUGCAACGCGAAAAACCUUACCUACUCUUGACAUACUUGGAGGCUCUUGUAAUGAGAGUGUGCCUUUUGGAACCAAGAUACAGGUGCUGCAUGGCUGUCGUCAGCUCGUGUCGUGAGAUGUUCCGUUAAGUCGGAUAACGAGCGCAACCCUUACCCUUAUUUGCCAGCGAUUCGGUCGGGAACUAUAAGGGGACUGCCGGUGAUAAACCGGAGGAAGGUGAGGACGACGUCAAGUCAUCAUGGCCCUUACGAGUAGGGCUACACACGUGCUACAAUGGGAGAUACAGACGGACGCUAAGCCGCGAGGUGGUGCUAAUCCUAAAAAGUCUUUCGUAGUCCGGAUUGGAGUCUGCAACUCGACUCCAUGAAGUCGGAAUCGCUAGUAAUCGCGGAUCAGCAUGCCGCGGUGAAUACGUUCUCGGGUCU
rnacentral:rRNA from 1 species